GAUGAACGCUGGCGGCGUGCCUAAUACAUGCAAGUCGAGCGAACAGAUAAGGAGCUUGCUCCUUUGACGUUAGCGGCGGACGGGUGAGUAACACGUGGGUAACCUACCUAUAAGACUGGGAUAACUUCGGGAAACCGGAGCUAAUACCGGAUAACAUUUGGAACCGCAUGGUUCUAAAGUGAAAGAUGGUUUUGCUAUCACUUAUAGAUGGACCCGCGCCGGAUUAGCUAGUUGGUAAGGUAACGGCUUACCAAGGCGACGAUACGUAGCCGAUCUGAGAGGGUGAUCAGCCACACUGGAACUGAGACACGGCCCAGACUCCUACGGGAGGCAGCAGUAGGGAAUCUUCCGCAAUGGGCGCAAGCCUGACGGAGCAACGCCGCGUGAGUGAUGAAGGGUUUCGGCUCGUAAAACUCUGUUAUUAGGGAAGAACAAAUGUGUAAGUAACCGUGCACGUCUUGACGGUACCUAAUCAGAAAGCAACGGCUAACUACGUG
rnacentral:rRNA from 1 species